rnacentral:rRNA from 1 species
CAGUCGCCGCGGUAAGACAGAGGAUGCAAGCGUUAUCCGGAAUGAUUGGGCGUAAAGCGUCUGUAGGUGGCUUUUCAAGUCCGCCGUCAAAUCCCAGGGCUCAACCCUGGACAGGCGGUGGAAACUACCAAGCUGGAGUACGGUAGGGGCGGAGGGAAUUUCCGGUGGGGCGGUGAAAUGCGUUGAGAUCGGAAAGAACACCAACGGCGAAAGCACUCUGCUGGGCCGACACUGACACUGAGAGACGAAAGCUAGGGGAGCAAAUGGGAUUAGAGACCCCGGUAGUCCCUGUCUCUUAUAC